rnacentral:lncRNA from 1 species
UGGAGUCACUGAGAUGUGAAAAGGUGAAGAGCUGAAGAAGUAAGAAGUAGAGUUGCAUGAUUCAUUUCAAAGGAUCUACAAUUUUAUGGGCAAGGUCAUCUAAAAAAAUCAUACUCAGCAAGUCAUAUGACAUUUCAGCAGAUUCCCAAAAAAGUUGA